GGGCAUCCGGAUGGCGACUGCGGGAAAUCGAGUUCUCAUGCUGGGGCGAAAGGUGUGUCUGCAGGAGCCAAAUCCAAAUGAGCAGUCCAGGUACUUCAGAGUUUUAACCUGAGCGAAACAGGAAUGUCUCGGGUCUUAACAGGACCGUCCGCCCGCUCGGAAGAGGCGAAUCUCCCACGGCAGACGUCUGGGUGUGCGAAUGCCAGUUGAGCGGGGCCUCGAGGACGCGUCACACACAGCGAGGAUUUGAGGAGGGAAGCGCCUUCCAGAGCUUCAGAGAAGAGGCAGAAGUGUGCAAACAGGAGCAGGUCCAAGAUUUGCAUGGCCAGAAGCAAUUCUUGAUCCUCUUGGCUAGAUUCGAAGAUUUGGCCACCUCCAGACGCUACCACACUCUGGGACAGUGGGAGAUUUGGAACAGCUUUGAGAAGAGCAAGGUGAGCUGGGACUUCCUGGAGCAGGCUGCCCAGGAAAAGCCAUUCCAUGGCAGAACUUGCGAGGGUGAGGUCGAGGGUUAAGGGAUAAGCGGGCAGAGGGUAGAAAUCCAAUUGGGCUAUUCCUAAAGCAUCCCCAGUCGCUUGGUUUUCCACUCUUCACCGAUGCUGCACUAAUGCCACGUAGGUCCAUCCCCGCAUAUGACACCAGGGAUUUUAUUCUGACCUCACAAGAUCCCAGGAUGAUGGCUCACAAAGGGCUUCCCUGGUUAUUUACUUCUGACUCUUGAAAGCUUAAAGAAAUUGUGCCUGAGAGGUUCAGUACCUUGUCCAGGGACACCCAGUUUGUGCAGAGCCGGGAGGAAAACACAGUUCAGUUCACUGUCACAGGUGAGUCACCAAAAACAUCCUAUAAAAAGACCUUUUGAGAAACUGUAACCCCGUUAAAACUAGUUAAAAAUUCUUGCCUUAAAGCAUUCCAUAUUCAUUUUACUUGGCUUUCUGUGGAUUUUCUCCCAUGAGAGACAAGCAGUAUUAAUCGGAAAACGGUUAAGUGGUGCAGCCUGAGUGUUUUGCUGUGUUAAUUUUAAUAAAAGAACAGUGCCUUAUCCUUCAAGUACUUUAAUUAAUCCUCUGUUGUGUUGUUUCUGUUAGUCAUUCAGAAAAACUGAAGUAUCAUUUAACCAUGGAAAAGUGCAUAUUCCGUUGAUGAAAAGCGUAGGUUUUAGUCCACUUGAGCAUUUCUGAGUCUUAGGUGGUAGGUGGUGCUGCCUCUGCAGUUCUUCCUGGGCCUCCCUGCUGAGCCAUCACAGUUCUAUGCUCUCCCACAAGCUGCAGAAAACCAGCCAAUCUCACACAAGCUCUUUAUUCAUUUCCCAGGCAGCUCUUUAUUCAUUCUCCACUUGGCAUUGUAAUGGAUUUAUGAGGCUUAUAAGGGUCUGUAUGUAAAUGAAAUAAAAAUAGAAAUAGAUGAACCCAGUCUUGAGGGAAAAUAUAUGUGGUUUCAACAUAAACUCUGAUAUUUGCUCUUGGUGUAACCCAGGUUCCCUGGAUUUUCCUGUACACUCUUUGAACCCACUUUGAACCCACUUGUAACUGUUGCACUUUGAGUUCUUGUUGUUUCAAAAAGUUCCAGGAAGAAGCUCAGCCCUUGCAAAACAAAAAAACUGGUUGGAUCUUUGGCGAACUCUCCUCAUUACCAUUCUAAAAACCCUGCCCAGGGAGGAGCUUUUUGGCCAUUUUCUACACAUGCCACAAAGGUAGAAGCAUGAUCAGCUACUGCACCUGCACUGCCUUUACUCUACCUCUACAUAUAAUGACUUAGCUAACCAGCCCAAUAAAAGGCCUGUUUUCACUCUGUUUGGGGAGACACUGCUUUGGGGAACCAUUCCCAUGUCCUCUUUACUUGUUCCAAGUAAUAAAAUCCCCUUAUUAUGUCCCCCUUGAUUGUGUUCAUUGAUCUGUCACCUGCCAAGUGAUCAAACCCACCCAUUGUGUGUGGAACAUUGUGUAUUGGUCUAUUCUCCCAUUGCUAUAAAGAAACACCUAAGAUUGGGUAAAGAAAAGAGGUUUAAUUGGCUCAUGGUUUUGCAGGCUGUUCAGGAAGCAUGAUGCUGACAUCUGCUUCGCUUCUGGGGAGGCCUCAGGAAGCUUACAAUCAUGGCAGAAGGUGAAGGGGGAGCAGGCAUGUCACAGGGCCAGAGCAGGAGCAAGAGAGUGAGGGGCGAGGUGCCACAUACUUUUAAACCACCAGAUCUUGGGAGAACUCACUAUCACAAGGUUAGUACCAGGAGGAUGCUACUAAACUAUUCAUGAGAAAUCGGCCUCCAUGAUCCAGUCACCUCCUCCCGCCAGGCCCCUCCUUCAACAUUGAGGAUUACAAUUGAAUGGGAGAUUUAGGUGGGGACACAUAUCCAAACCACACAUCCAAACACUGGCUCUUGCUAGGUAACCUUUGUUGAUAAGUAGGUUCCCUCUACUUACUAGUUUGCUUAGACUUUCAUUUAGUCAUGCAUGAAUGUACUUUGUUAUGUUGAGUAUCUUUUCUAUCUCUAUUGA
ensembl:lncRNA novel transcript